rnacentral:rRNA from 1 species
CAGUCGCCGCGGUAAUACGUAGGGUGCAAGCGUUAAUCGGAAUUACUGGGCGUAAAGCGUGCGCAGGCGGUUAUAUAAGACAGAUGUGAAAUCCCCGGGCUCAACCUGGGAACUGCAUUUGUGACUGUAUAGCUAGAGUACGGCAGAGGGGGAUGGAAUUCCGCGUGUAGCAGUGAAAUGCGUAGAUAUGCGGAGGAACACCGAUGGCGAAGGCAAUCCCCUGGGCCUGUACUGACGCUCAUGCACGAAAGCGUGGGGAGCAAACAGGAUUAGAUACCCGCGUAGUCCCUGUCUCUUAUAU